rnacentral:misc_RNA from 1 species
AAAGUCGUAACAAGGUAACCGUAGGUGAACCUGCGGUUGGAUCAUUAUCAAAUAUAAAACAACAGAGCGUAGAACGGUCUAGAACCGUUUGAGACUCUGUCCCUUAACGGGGUUUGGGGUCCCGCAAUGAAUCCUUCGUAACACGAGGAAACGUUGCAGGGCCACUAGAAAAACAUACUGUGAACUGUUUUUGUCUCUGGCGGCUGGGUGGUCUCAAACACCACCUGUCAGCCAACAAACAUGGGCGUGUCAAACGUCCAAGUUUGUCGGCCGUGGACAAGCCGCCAAAAGCUUAGUGGGGACCUCCUCCGCGGGGCACCCACGAAAAACUAUUUUCUGUUUAGUUGACUGAUCUACAAUACGAAAAGUAAUGUGAAAAAAACAACUUUUGGCAACGGAUCUCUUGGCUCUC